CGUGUAGGCGGGUUGGUAAGUCAGAUGUGAAAGCCCCGGGCUCAACCCGGGAAGUGCAUUUGAAACUGCCAUCCUUGAGUAUGGGAGAGGAGAGUGGAAUUCCCAGUGUAGAGGUGAAAUUCGUAGAUAUUGGGAGGAACACCCGUGGCGAAGGCGGCUCUCUGGACCAAUACUGACGCUGAGACGCGAAAGCGUGGGGAGCAAACA
rnacentral:rRNA from 1 species